UACGGAGGUGGCAAGCGUUGUUCGGAAUUACUGGGCGUAAAGGGCGCGUAGGCGGCGGAGCAAGUCAGAUGUGAAAGCCCCGGGCUUAACUCGGGAAUUGCAUCUGAAACUGCUGUGCUUGAGUCCUGGAGGGGGUAGUGGAAUUCCCAGUGUAGCGGUGAAAUGCGUAGAUAUUGGGAGGAACACCUGCGGCGAAGGCGGCUACCUGGACAGUGACUGACGCUGAGGCGCGAAAGCUAGGGGAGCGAACGGG
rnacentral:rRNA from 1 species